GCUUCGGUAGCGCAGUAGGUAGCGCGUCAGUCGCAUAAUCUCCUCCGAAGAGGAACCGUAAACCUCCUCUGAAGGUCGUGAGUUCGAUCCUCACCUGCGGCA